UCCGGCUCAUGGAAGACAUACCUUUUUUUGUAAAAUCAUAUACAGAAGAAACGCAGUCAUUAGGGUUCGAGAAAUACCAAACCCCUCUCUUUAUACUGCCGACAACCACCAAACCACCUGAAAAAUGUACAGUCACAUCUCCAAAUGCUUUGAGGGGUUUGUAACUGCAGCGCGCUUUAGCACUGCAGCAUCCUUAGUCUUUUUGCCCUUCUGGGUUGUCAUCAGGCUCUCAAGCGUACCGGACUAUGAUUCCACCAAACACCAUAACUAUGAUUCGAGGAAACACCAUAAAGAAAUAAUGAAGCUGGAGAAAAAAAGCUACGGUUCAGAGGGGAAUGGUGAAGGAUGAAAAAGAAAGGAACAAGUGUGAGCUAAAACUUUAAUGCGGAUGUUUCCACUCAUGAUAAUUUGAAAUUUAAUGUGGAUCUUAUUUGCUGUCUGCACUAGCAUGUUUUGGUUAUUUGUCAUGUGUACGACUGGAAAAGGAUCAACAUCCUUCUCUGCUAGUGUUUUGAUUAUCCCCUGAAAUAUUUGAACUUGUCAUUAAUUAUGUUAGAAAUCAGCUGAGGCUGGUUAUUAAUCAUUCUAGACUUCAGGAUUUGGUUAUUAA